rnacentral:rRNA from 1 species
UACGAAGGGGGGCUAGCGUUGCUCGGAUUUACUGGGCGUAAAGGGCGCGUAGGCGGACAGUUAAGUUGGGGGUGAAAGCCCGGGGCUCAACCUCGGAACUGCCUUCAAUACUGGCUGUCUUGAGUGUGAGAGAGGUGUGUGGAACUCCGAGUGUAGAGGUGAAAUUCGUAGAUAUUCGGAAGAACACCAGUGGCGAAGGCGACUCGCUGGACAAGUAUUGACGCUGAGGUGCGAAAGCGUGGGGAGCAAACAGG